GUGGGGAAUAUUGCGCAAUGGGCGAAAGCCUGACGCAGCGACGCCGCGUGAGGGAAGAAGGUUUUCGGAUCGUAAACCUCUGUCCUUAGUGAAGAGAAAGAGACGGUAGCUAAGGAGGAAGCCCCGGCUAACUACGUGCCAGCAGCCGCGGUAAUACGUAGGGGGCGAGCGUUGUCCGGAAGGAUUGGGCGUAAAGGGCGCGUAGGCGGCCUGUUAAGUCCGGAGUGAAAUUCCUGCUUUCAAGGUAGGAAGUGCUUUGGAAACUGGCGGGCUGGAGUGCAGGAGAGGUUAGCGGAAUUCCCGGUGUAGCGGUGAAAUGCGUAGAGAUCGGGAGGAACACCAGUGGCGAAGGCGGCUAACUGGACUGUAACUGACGCUGAGGCGCGAAAGUGUGGGGAGCAAACAGGAUUAGAUACCCCGGUAGUCC
rnacentral:rRNA from 1 species